CCAAAGUCAUGGUUAAGUGGGAAACGAUGUGGGAAGGCACAGACAGCCAGGAUGUUGGCUUAGAAGCAGCCAUCAUUUAAAGAAAGCGUAAUAGCUCACUGGUCGAGUCGGCCUGCGCGGAAGAUGUAACGGGGCUAAACCAUGCACCGAAGCUGCGGCAGCGACACUAUGUGUUGUUGGGUAGGGGAGCGUUCUGUAAGCCUGCGAAGGUGUGCUGUGAGGCAUGCUGGAGGUAUCAGAAGUGCGAAUGCUGACAUAAGUAACGAUAAAGCGGGUGAAAAGCCCGCUCGCCGGAAGACCAAGGGUUCCUGUCCAACGUUAAUCGGGGCAGGGUGAGUCGACCCCUAAGGCGAGGCCGAAAGGCGUAGUCGAUGGGAAACAGGUUAAUAUUCCUGUACUUGGUGUUACUGCGAAGGGGGGACGGAGAAGGCUAUGUUAGCCGGGCGACGGUUGUCCCGGUUUAAGCAUGUAGGCUGGUUAUCCAGGCAAAUCCGGAUAAUCAAGGCUGAGGUGUGAUGACGAGGCACUACGGUGCUGAAGUAACAAAUGCCCUGCUUCCAGGAAAAGCCUCUAAGCAUCAGGUAACAUCAAAUCGUACCCCAAACCGACACAGGUGGUCAGGUAGAGAAUACCAAGGCGCUUGAGAGAACUCGGGUGAAGGAACUAGGCAAAAUGGUGCCGUAACUUCGGGAGAAGGCACGCUGGUGUGUAGGUGAAGUCCCUGCGGAUGGAGCUGAGACCAGUCGAAGAUACCAGCUGGCUGCAACUGUUUAUUAAAAACACAGCACUGUGCAAACACGAAAGUGGACGUAUACGGUGUGACGCCUGCCCGGUGCCGGAAGGUUAAUUGAUGGGGUUAUCCGUAAGGAGAAGCUCUUGAUCG
rnacentral:rRNA from 1 species